GCCAGAAGUCUGAGAAUCUUUCAGGGGAAGUAUGGGAGCAAUGCUGUGGGUGUUGCACUAACUCUGUUCAGUAAAAAGAACUGGGCUUGGAGUGACAGAGACCUAACUUCCCGUUCUGCCCCUGCCGGGGAUGUGUGCAAACCCAGGCAUGCUGUUUGAACUCAGCUUUGUCAUCUACAAACAGGAAUAACAACAUUCCUGCCAAGGGCUGUGGGGAAGAUCAGGGAUCAAGAUCACUCCACUUACCGGCUCUGUGGGAGGCUUGGUGCUGGCUGAGGUGUGUCAGUGACUGCCACGGGCUGCACCCCUCACUGUUGCCUGAAGUCACCCAAGGUCGCCCAAGGUCAGUGGGAAAUAUCCAGGGAUGACGGUGGAUCCUGGGAGCGCCUCACAACAGCUACCUUCGGCACAGCACGACUUUGGAAGGCCUAAAGUUUGAACCAAAAAUGGAGCCCCUGCCGCUCUCCCCAUAUGGGAUUCAAAUUGAAAAGCUACAAGUCAUUAUGGAAAGACAGAGGACGAAACAGCCAUCCUGUCGACUUCUUUGUAAGGGGCAUCAGAGUCAAAGACUGCCAGAACACCCACACUGAUCCUACCUGCAUAAUGUGGAAUGAAUGCUAUGGAUAAACUGCUGAAGAUGGUUCCUGUCCAUUUGACUCUGAAGGGUGUCUUCUUUCACGUUGAAGAACAGGAGACAAUCAAAAUGUGAAACGUAUGCUGAAGCCAACCAGAACAUCAAAGGACAGUCAAAAGCGCUAACCAUGAAACUAUAUUUCUACUAAUACAUUCUUUUAAAAAAAAAAUAAAAACAAACCUGCGUGUCCGUGCU
rnacentral:lncRNA from 1 species